CGGGGGAAUGCUAAAGACCAAGCUGUCUGCCUGCAAAUGGUGGCUGUGAAGCUAGACAGGAGGUGAUGGGCUGAGAGAGAGGGGACCGUGCUCAAGAGUGAGGACCCACUCAGCAAGGCUGUCAUAGUUGGUUGCUUUGGUGCUCCAAACCAUAUUUCCUAUCAAGAAAGAAGAAGGAGGCAGAAGGCCAACGCUAAGGCCAAGGAUGACACCACAUAUGCUGCCUCCAUGUCUGCUUUGUUCUGCCCUCUCUAC